UAGGUCCUUGUUAACUGAUUCUUGCAUUUUGUCCAUUCUAUUGUCCAUUCUAUCUCCAAGAUUUCGGAUCAACCUUACUAUCAUUAUUCUGAAUUCUUUUUCAGGUAGACUGCCUAUUUCCUCUUCAUUUGUUAGGUCUGGUGCAUUUUUAUCUUGCUCCUUUAUCUGCUGUGUGUUUUUCUGUCUUCUCAUUUUGCUUAUCUUACUGUGUUUGGGGUCUCCUUUUUGCAGGCUGCAGGUUUGUAGUUCCUCCUGUUUUUGAUGUCUGUCUCCAGUGGCUAAGGUUGGUUCAGUGGGUUGUGUAGGCUUCCUGGUGGAGGGGGCUAGUGCCUGUGUUGUGGUGGAUGAGGCUGGAUCUUGUCUCUCUAGUGGGCAGGUUCACGUCUGGUGGUGUGUUUGGGGGUGUCUGUGGCCUUAUUAUGAUUUUAGGCAGCCUCUCUGCUAAUGGGUGGGGUUGUGUUCCUGUUUUGCUAGUUGUUUGGCAUAGGUUUUCCAGCACUGUGGCUUGCUGGUCGUUGAGUGAAGCUGGGUGCUGGUAUUAAGAUGGAGGUCUCUGGGAGAUUUUCGCCGUUUGAUAUUAUGUGGAGCUGGGAGGUCUCUUGUUGAUCAGUGUCCUGAAGUUGGCUGUCCUACCUCAGAGGCAGAGCCCUGCCUCCUGGCUGGAGCACCAAAAGCUUUUCAUCCACAGGCUCAGGAUAAAAGGGAGAAAAAGUAGAGGGAAUUAGUAGAAGUAUGAGGAAAGAAAGAAGGAAAGGAGGGUAGGAAGGAAGGAAGAAAGAAAGAAAGAAGCAAAGAAGGAAAGAAGGCAAGAAGGAAAGAAAGGAGGGAGGGAGGGAGGAAGGAAGGAAGGAGGGAAAGAAGGAAAAAAGACAGAAAGAAAGAAGAUACAGUAAAAAUAAAGUAUAAUAAAGUUAUUGAAUUAAAAACUUCUUAUUUAGGAAAAAAAAAAAGGGACGGAAAAACCUUAGGACAAAUGUUGGAAGCAAAGCUAUACAGACAAAAUCUUACACAGAAGCAUACACGUACACCCUCACUAAAAGAGGUAAAUGGGGAAAAAUCCUAAAUCUUGCUGUCAGAGACCACCUCCUCAAUUUGGGAUGAUUCGUUGUCUAAAGGAGGGAAGGAAGGAUGGAAAGAAAGAAAGAAAGAACGAAGGUAAAGUAUAAUAAGGUUAUUAAAAUUAAUUAUUAAGAAAAAAAUUAAAAAAAAAAAACAUGGACGGAUAGAACCCUAGGACAAAUGGUGGAAGCAAGACUAUACAGACAAGAUCUCACACAGAAGCAUACACAUACACAUUCACAAAAAGAGGAAAGGGGAAAAAAUCAUAGAUCUUGCUCCUAAAGUCCACUUCCUUAAUUUGGGAUGAUUGGUUGUCUAUUCAGGUAUUCCACAGAUGCAGGGUACAUCAAGUUGAUUGUGGAGCUUUAAUCCGCUGCUUCUGAGGCUGCUGGGAGAGAUUUCCCUUUCUCUUCUUUGUUCUCACAGCUCCCAGGGCUAAGCUUUGGAUUUGGCCCUGCCACUGCGUGUAGAUCGCU